GCGUAAAGCGUCUGCAGGUGGUUUCUUAAGUCUACUGUUAAAUCUUGAGGCUCAACCUCAAAUCUGCAGUAGAAACUAGGAGACUUGAGUAUAGUAGGGGUAGAGGGAAUUCCAGUGGAGCGGUGAAAUGCGUAGAUAUUGGAAAGAACACCGAUGGCGAAGGCACUCUACUGGGCUAUUACUGACACUCAGAGACGAAAGCUAGGGGAGCAAAUGGGAUUAGAUACCCCAGUAGUCCUAGCCGUAAACGAUGGAUACUCGAUGUUGGACGUAUCGACCCGUUCAGUAUCUUAGCUAACGCGUUAAGUAUCCCGCCUGGGGAGUACGCUCGCGAGAGUGAAACUCAAAGGAAUUGACGGGGGCCCGCACAAGCGGUGGAGGAUGUGGUUUAAUUCGAUGCAACGCGAAGAACCUUACCAGGGUUUGCUAGAAGUGUUGGUUUUCUGAAAAGAAUUCCUUAUUCCGCUUCUACAGGUGGUGCAUGGCUGUCGUCAGCUCGUGUCGUGAGAUGUUGGGUUAAGUCCCGCAACGAGCGCAACCCUUAUUUUUAGUUCUAUUGUCUAGAAAGACUGCCGGUGACAAACCGGAGGAAGGUGAGGACGACGUCAAGUCAUCAUGCCCCUUACACCCUGGGCUACACACGUCCUACAAUGGGUAAGACAAUAAGUUGCAAAUUCGCGAGAAUAAGCUAAUCUUUGAAACUUACUCCAAGUACAGAUUGCAGGCUGCAACUCGCCUGCAUGAAGGUGGAAUCGCUAGUAA
rnacentral:rRNA from 1 species